rnacentral:tRNA from 1 species
GGAGAGGUCGCAUAGUGGUCUAGUGCGCCGCCUUGGAAAGGCGGUGUGCCCGAAAGGGUACCGUGGGUUCAAAUCCCACCCUCUCCG